rnacentral:rRNA from 1 species
UACGUAGGGGGCAAGCGUUGUCCGGAUUUAUUGGGCGUAAAGAGCGUGUAGGCGGCCAGAUAGGUCAGCUGUGAAAACUCGAGGCUCAACCUCGAGACGCCGGUUGAAACCAUUUGGCUAGAGUCCGGUAGGGGCAGAGGGAAUUUCCGGUGGAGCGGUGAAAUGCAUAGAGAUCGGAAAGAACACCAACGGCGAAAGCACUCUGCUGGGCCGACACUGACACUGAGAGACGAAAGCUAGGGGAGCGAAUGGG